rnacentral:snRNA from 13 species
AGCUUUGCGCAGUGGCAGUAUCGUAGCCAAUGAGGUUUAUCCGAGGCGCGAUUAUUGCUAAUUGAUCUCCAUAUUCUAUUGUUAAAUGUGGAAAGCGCAGACCAGUAUAUACUGUACCCAAUGCGUGAAGUAUGCUACCAUUUGUAUCAUAAAGGGGGAUAAGAAAUAGAUAUGUUUAGAAGUAUGUAUGUGUA